rnacentral:rRNA from 1 species
CGGGUGAGUAAUGUAUGGGGAUCUGCCUGAUGGCGGGGGAUAACUACUGGAAACGGUAGCUAAUACCGCAUAAUGUCUGCGGACCAAAGUGGGGGACCUCCGGGCCUCGCGCCAUCAGAUGAACCCAUAUGGGAUUAGCUUGUAGGUAAGGUAACGGCUUACCUAGGCGACGAUCCCUAGCUGGUCUGAGAGGAUGAUCAGCCACACUGGGACUGAGACACGGCCCAG